UACGGAGGGGUCUAGCGUUGUUCGGAAUUACUGGGCGUAAAGCGCACGUAGGCGGCUGUUCAAGUCAGAGGUGAAAGCCUGUAGCUCAACUCCAGAACUGCCUUUGAAACUAGAUAGCUAGAACACGGUAGAGGUUAGUGGAAUUCCGAGUGUAGAGGUGAAAUUCGUAGAUAUUCGGAAGAACACCAGUGGCGAAGGCGGCUCACUGGACCGUUGUUGACGCUGAGGUGCGAAAGCGUGGGGAGCAAACAGG
rnacentral:rRNA from 1 species